rnacentral:rRNA from 1 species
AGCCAUGCAUGUCUAAGUAUAAGUAUUAUACAGCGAAACUGCGAAUGGCUCAUUAAAACAGUUAUAGUUUAUUUGAUAAUCGAAUUUACAUGGAUAACCGUGGUAAUUCUAGAGCUAAUACAUGCUGGUGUGCCCGACUUUUGCGGAAGGGCGGUAUUUAUUAGAUAACAAGCCAAUAUUCCUCUGGUCUAUUGUGGUGACUCAUAAUAACUGAUCGAAUCGCAAGGCCUUUGGCCGCGAUAAGUCAUUCAAGUUUCUGCCCCAUCAGCUUUCGAUGGUAGUGUAUUGGACUACCAUGGCGUUUACGGGUAACGGAGGAUUAGGGUUCGAUUCCGGAGAGGGAGCCUGAGAAACGGCUACCACAUCUAAGGAAGGCAGCAGGCGCGUAAAUUACCCAAUCCUGACUCAGGAGGUAGUGACAAGAAAUAACGGACUGAGGCCUUCGGGCUUCGGGAUUGGAAUGAGCCGAAUUUACACCCCUUAGCGAAGAUCGAUUGGAGGGCAAGUCUGGUGCCAGCAGCCGCGGUAAUUCCAGCUCCAAUAGCGUAUAUUAAAGUUGUUGCAGUUAAAAAGCUCGUAGUUGGAUUUCUGGGAGGGUGCCGAUGUCCGCUUAACGUGUGUGCAGCGGCGCCCUCUCAUCCUUCUGUUAGCGUCUCUUGGCAUUCAUUUGCUGGUGGCGGGCUCAGAUAUUUUACCUUGAGAAAAUUAGAGUGUUUCAGGCAGGCUAGCCGGAAUACAUUAGCAUGGAAUAAUGGAAUAGGGACUACGUCUCUUUGUUGGUUUGAGGGACUGCAGUAAUGAUUAAUAGGGAUAGUUGGGGGCAUUAGUACUUAACUGUCAGAAGUGGAAUUCUCAGAAUUUGUUAAAAGACUGACUUAUGCGAAAGCAUUUUGCCAAGGAUGUUUUCAUUUAAU